UACAGAGACCUCAAGCGUUGUCCGGAAUUAUUGGGCGUAAAGAGCUCGUAGGCGGUGUGUCGCGUCGGCCGUGAAAACCUGCAGCUUAACUGUGGGCUUGCGGUCGAUACGGGCAUCACUGGAGUUCGGCAGGGGAGACUGGAAUUCCUGGUGUAGCGGUGAAAUGCGCAGAUAUCAGGAGGAACACCGGUGGCGAAGGCGGGUCUCUGGGCCGAUACUGACGCUGAGGAGCGAAAGCGUGGGGAGCGAACAGG
rnacentral:rRNA from 1 species